rnacentral:tRNA from 1 species
UCGACAAUAGUUUAUUAAAAACAGUAGAUUGUGAUUCUAAAAAAUAGGGGAUACCAACCUUAUGUCGAC